rnacentral:rRNA from 1 species
UGCUUAACACAUGCAAGUCGAACGAUGAUCCCAGCUUGCUGGGGGAUUAGUGGCGAACGGGUGAGUAACACGUGAGUAACCUGCCCUUGACUCUGGGAUAAGCCUGGGAAACUGGGUCUAAUACCGGAUAUGACUCCUCAUCGCAUGGUGGGGGGUGGAAAGCUUUUGUGGUUUUGGAUGGACUCGCGGCCUAUCAGCUUGUUGGUGGGGUAAUGGCCUACCAAGGCGACGACGGGUAGCCGGCCUGAGAGGGUGACCGGCCACACUGGGACUGAGACACGGCCCAGACUCCUACGGGAGGCAGCAGUGGGGAAUAUUGCACAAUGGGCGCAAGCCUGAUGCAGCGACGCCGCGUGAGGGAUGACGGCCUUCGGGUUGUAAACCUCUUUCAGUAGGGAAGAAGCGUAAGUGACGGUACCUGCAGAAGAAGCGCCGGCUAACUACGUGCCAGCAGCCGCGGUAAUACGUAGGGCGCAAGCGU